rnacentral:rRNA from 1 species
UACGUAGGUGGCAAGCGUUGUCCGGAAUUAUUGGGCGUAAAGCGCGCGCAGGCGGUCCUUUAAGUCUGACGUGAAAGCCCACGGCUCAACCGUGGAGGGUCAUUGGAAACUGGGGGACUUGAGUACAGAAGAGAAGAGUGGAAUUCCACGUGUAGCGGUGAAAUGCGUAGAGAUGUGGAGGAACACCAGUGGCGAAGGCGACUCUUUGGUCUGUAACUGACGCUGAGGCGCGAAAGCGUGGGGAGCAAACAGG